UACGUAGGUGGCAAGCGUUGUCCGGAUUUACUGGGCGUAAAGAGCGCGCAGGCGGUCGUUCAAGUCGCGUGUGAAAGCCCCCGGCUCAACUGGGGAGGGUCACGCGAUACUGAUCGACUCGAAGGCAGGAGAGGGUAGUGGAAUUCCCGGUGUAGUGGUGAAAUGCGUAGAUAUCGGGGAGGAACACCAGUGGCGAAGGCGGCUCUCUGGACCGGUACUGACGCUGAGACGCGAAAGCCAGGGGAGCAAACGGG
rnacentral:rRNA from 1 species